rnacentral:tRNA from 1 species
GCGAAGGUGGCGGAAAUGGUAGACGCGCUAGCUUCAGGUGUUAGUGUCCUUAGGGACGUGGGGGUUCAAGUCCCCCCCCUCGCACCA